rnacentral:tRNA from 1 species
GCUCGGAUGGGCUCAAGAGGUAGAGCACUUGCCUAGUAAGCAAGCACUCUCAGUUCAAAUCCUGGGUCCAACCA